ACGUCACCGCCGCCCGGUCCCCGCCGCCAUUGGAGUUGGAGGGUCUCGCGCUCCAUCCCGGCUCGGGGCCAGCGCGGGGGACAGGCCGCGGGGCGCGGAGCGAGGGCGGGCGGGGAUGUGAGGAGAAGGGCCGGCAGGGCGAGCAGCGACCGGACCGACCCCUCCCGCCCUGCCCCGGGGGGGGGCCUAGCCUGAGGAGAGACCCCCUUCCCCCCCACACACAUACCCACGCCCGCGCGCGCUGACCCGGCCCCGCCCCUCCCCCGGGGCCCAGUCCGGAGCGCCCCCGCAGGCCCAGGGGACAGGCGCUUCCCCCCCCCCCCCCCCCCCCGCCCAGGUGGCGCCCCGCGUUCUCGCCGUGCGCCUCCCCGCUGCGCGGAGGGGCCCGGGCCCUGCCCCUCCCCCUCCCCCCGCUCCCUGCUGACCACGGGGGCCCCGUACAUGAAUGAUGUCGGCCACCAGCGUUGACCCUCAACGACCGAAAGGACAAGAUAAUAAAGUACAAAAUGGUUCAUUGCAUCAGAAGGACACAGUUCAUGACAACGAUUUUGAACCUUACCUUUCUGGACAGUCAAAUCAGAAUAAUAGCUAUCCAUCAAUGACUGAUCCCUAUUUGUCCAGUUAUUAUCCACCAUCUAUUGGGUUUCCCUAUUCUCUCAGUGAAGCACCGUGGUCUACUGGAGGAGAUCCUCCUAUCCCAUACCUCACCACCUAUGGACAGCUCAGUAAUGGAGACCAUCAUUUUAUGCAUGAUGCUGUUUUUGGACAGCCUGGGGGUCUGGGAAACAACAUCUACCAACACAGAUUUAAUUUUUUCCCUGAAAAUCCUGCUUUCUCAGCUUGGGGAACAAGUGGGUCCCAAGGACAGCAGACUCAAAGUUCAGCUUAUGGGAGCAGUUACAGCUACCCACCUAGCUCACUGGGUGGUACUAUUGUGGAUGGACAAACAGGAUUUCAUAAUGAUACUUUGAAUAAAGCACCUGGAAUGAAUAGUAUUGAACAGGGAAUGGUUGGACUUAAGAUUGGUGGAGAUGUAACAACUUCUGCUGUGAAAACAGUAGGUUCUGUUGUUAACAGCGCCGGAAUGACGGGUGCUCUCUCUGGUAAUGGUGGAUCCAGUGUAAACUUGCCAGUAUCUAAACCAACCUCUUGGGCUGCUAUUGCCAGCAAGCCUGCAAAACCACAGCCGAAAAUGAAAACAAAAACUGGGCCUGUAAUUGGAGGAGCUUUGCCUCCACCACCUAUAAAACAUAAUAUGGACAUAGGUACUUGGGAUAAUAAGGGUCCUGUGACAAAAGUUCCUACUCCCCAGCAAAUCCCAUCUCCUCAGUCUGUCCCACAGCCACAGCAACAAAUGGUUCAGCCUAUUCCAGCUCAACCUCCUCCAUUGACCCAGCCACAGUAUCAAAGUCCUCAGCAGCCACCCCAAAACCGCUGGGUGGCUCCCCGCAACAGAAAUGCAGCUUUUGGCCAAAGUGGAGGAACUGGUAAUGAUAGCAACUCAGCUGGCAGUACCCAGCCUAACUCUGUCCCAAGUGGCGAAUCCCAUCCCGUUCUUGAAAAACUGAAAGCUGCUCAUAGCUAUAACCCGAAAGAUUUUGAAUGGAAUCUUAAAAAUGGACGUGUGUUCAUAAUAAAGAGCUAUUCUGAGGAUGAUAUUCAUCGUUCCAUUAAAUAUUCUAUUUGGUGUAGCACAGAACAUGGCAACAAACGCUUGGACAGCGCUUUCCGAUCCAUGAAUAGUAAGGGCCCAGUCUACUUACUAUUCAGUGUUAAUGGUAGUGGACAUUUCUGUGGAGUAGCAGAAAUGAAAUCACCUGUGGACUAUGGCACUAGUGCUGGCGUCUGGUCUCAGGACAAAUGGAAGGGGAAAUUUGAUGUGAAAUGGAUCUUUGUGAAGGAUGUGCCCAACAACCAGCUCCGACACAUCAGGCUGGAGAACAAUGACAACAAACCAGUUACAAACUCCCGUGACACACAGGAGGUGCCCUUAGAAAAAGCAAAACAAGUGCUUAAAAUUAUUGCUACUUACAAGCACACAACCUCCAUCUUUGAUGACUUUUCCCAUUAUGAAAAGCGCCAAGAAGAGGAGGAGGUGGUGCGGAAGCUCCCAGUCAGUUUCUCAACUUUGAAUGAGCUAGUCAUUGAAUUGAUCUAGUUUAAAAACAAAUGAAGAAAAUACUUUCUCUGUACCUCCAGAUGAGACUGCCAUUGUCAAAAGCUGGUUUAGCACCUCAAGAAACUCGGGUUCCAGGUGCUUAGUUUGUGGCUUCCAGUUCAAUGAAGAGAGAGAAUAGAUUGGAGACAUGGUAGUAAAUGUCAGAACAGUGGAGUGGAGAAGGGCAUCUGCCAUCAAAAGAUUGGAACUUAAAACCACUGUCUUGACUUAUGCAGUUCAAAUAUAGGUUGGAAAACUUAAUAACAAUAUAUAAUUAUGCCAAUAAUGCUAGCCCCAGGUCUGAGCCCCUUGAUUAAGAACAUAUCGCUUUGGUUACUAGUAUUUAUAAUUAAGAAACAAACAUCACUUCAUUGGCAAUUGAUAAUUCAGCCAACCAAUGAGAACCUUCCCUCUACACUGUUCUAGUCUUAAAAAAUAUAUAUAUAUAUUACUUUAUAAAUCCUACAGACUACUUAAAUUUUCAUUUAAUUUAGUCCUUAUCAGUUUGUUGUAUUUGUAUUUUCCGCAAAAAAAAUAAUCAUCAUAAAUGUUCAGGUCUUGUUCAUAAGCUCAUUGUAGCCUGAAAACUAAAACGUGUGUUAACCCAGUUACAAAUGCAGUUUGGUUUCUUUCUCUCUAGUUGUCACAAGUUUAAAAUUAGAAUAGUUCAACAUGGUAGGAAGCUCUGUGUAGAUAGCUCUUUACCACCGUGUUUGGAGAAAAUGUGGAUGGGAUCUAUGUGAAAAGGCUUUAAAUUGAAAAGUGUGAUUUGAGGUAAUUAGUCUGAGUAAUUUAUGCUAAGGUUACUUGCAUUCAUUUUAAGCUUAUUUUGAAAUGGAAGGAUCUAAUUUUCAAAAAGUAAAAAAAACAAAAAAACCCCCAGUCUCUGCAUCCUGCUUGGGAGCUCCAUCUUUCAUGUCUGUUUGUAGCUAACAUAAAUGCUGAUCAUAGAUGCUGCUAAACUCAAUUAGUGUAUCCAGUAGGACUUUUUAACUUCUAAGCCUCUCGUUGGACAUGGUGGUUGGGCUACUGAACCAGUGCCAUAUCAAUAGUCAUUCAAAUAAAAUGUAAAGUCUUAUUAAACUAUGGUUCUUAAUGCCUUGUAUUUUACAUUAUGCAAAUGUUUUGCUUUAAGGAAUAUUAAUGGAUACGGGGGGAAAGUUAUGAAGAUGCGCCCCUCAUAUUAACAGCUCUUAACAUUUUAAACCCGCCUUGUAUCUUAGAUGAAAACAAAGUAGAGAAUGACACCAGUCCAGGAAAAAAAAGUUAAGAUAUUUGUCACUUCAAUUUUUCUGAGUUUUUUAAAAACAGGGAAAAUAUAGCAAUCCCAACUAAUUCGGAAACUAAAGGAAAAAGUCAUAAACUAGCAAUGUUUAGCUGUUAAAAGACUCCUAGCUUCUUGGGAAGGUAAAAUGGUAUUUUUGGCUUCUCAUAGUAGAUAUUCACUGCUCCGCUCUCUGGAGCGCUGUAUUUGCACCCACAUAAGCUUUUGCUGGGAUAUUCUUGUCAAUUUUUCUGUUCCAGAGGCAGUUACUGAACAGUCCCUCUCUUUUUCUUGCUUGUUACCAAUUUCCCCUGGUUUUGCGUGAACUGCCCUGCAUGAUCCCUUGCUCACUACCCCCACUAAAGAGUGGAGAGCACAGCUGCUCCUCUUGCUCACUGGGAGACAUUCUUGCAGACUUGUUGAGACCCUUUUUCUCCACAUUUACUGCAUUUAGGGCACAAAUUAAGUAGACUGCCCUUUCCAAAGUUGAGCCCUGUCUGGGGUUUUCCUUUAAUGUCCCUUGCUCUUUGGUGGAGGUUAUCUGAAACUCAGUGAGACUUCAGUGAGCCCCUGGCUUCUACUUCAUUCAGCAUCAUAGUGUCUUACAAGUCUUGCUUGCUUCAUUCAGCAACACUUUCUCUACCAGACUUUUGAAGUCUCCCAGAACGUCUUCCAAGAAGAAUAGUAAGGUAGCAGAGGGAGAAAAGGUUUGGGGCAAGUUUCAAAAGUGACAUGCACUUAAGAGUGGAAGUUCUGUCACCUUCCAGUGAGACCUAAGGCGCUAACAAAAGGGCACUUUUGAAAAUUUUGCACUUGUUCUGUGGAUCCCUUCAGUCUGUUCCUACCCUUGUACCAAUCCAGCUGCUGUUGCUAGAGAUCAAAAUAUUCAAGGUCUGUCUUCAGUUAUGAAUUUUAGUUUCCCAUACUUACGUUCUCUGCUGUAGCACUCACCUGUUACCAUUUUGGGGCCUGCGUGACUGGUCUAGCUGCAUGUACACUUGCUCUGCACGCAUUCAGCAACUCCACUUAAAAUUUCAUGUGUUCAUUUGAUUCCUGUAUUCUUUUAUGUGUCAAAUAUAUACUAUAUAUGAUAAAUAAUUGCUGUUGUAAUUUUAAAAUUACGUGCAAGUCAUAAUUGUGGGCUGCACCAGUAAUU